CAAUAGCGUAUAUUAAAGUUGUUGCAGUUAAAAAGCUCGUAGUUGGAUUUCGGGGCAGCCUGGCUGGUCCGCCGCAAGGCGAGUACUGGUCAGCCGCCCUUCCUCUCGACAGCCCCGACUGCUCUUCGUUGCAGUGGUCGGGUAGUUCGGGACGUUUACUUUGAAAAAAUUAGAGUGUUCAAGGCAGGCCUACGCCUGAAUACAUUAGCAUGGAAUAAUGGAAGAGGACCUCGGUCCUAUUUUGUUGGUUUCCAGGGCCGAAGUAAUGAUUAAGAGGGACAGUUGGGGGCAUUCGUAUUUAAUUGUCAGAGGUGAAAUUCUCGGAUUUAUGAAAGACGAACAACUGCGAAAGCAUUUGCCAAGGAUGUUUUCAUUAA
rnacentral:rRNA from 1 species